rnacentral:rRNA from 1 species
UACAGAGGGUGCGAGCGUUAAUCGGAAUAACUGGGCGUAAAGGGUGCGUAGGCGGUGUCGUGUGAUUUAUGUGAAAGCCCCGGGCUUAACCUGGGAAGUGCAUAGGUGACUACGAUACUGGAGUACAAGAGAGGGUAGCGGAAUUUCCGGUGUAGCGGUGAAAUGCGUAGAUAUCGGAAGGAACGUCAAUGGCGAAGGCAGCUACCUGGCUUGAUACUGACGCUGAGGCACGAAAGCGUGGGGAGCGAACAGG